rnacentral:rRNA from 1 species
AUUGAACGCUGGCGGCAGGCCUAACACAUGCAAGUCGAAUGGUAACAGGAAACAGCUUGCUGUUUCGCUGACGAGUGGCGGACGGGUGAGUAAUGUCUGGGAAACUGCCUGAUGGAGGGGGAUAACUACUGGAAACGGUAGCUAAUACCGCAUAACGUCGCAAGACUAAAGAGGGGGACCUUCGUGCCUCUUGCCAUCAGAUGUGCCCAGAUGGGAUUAGCUAGUAGGUGGGGUAACGGCUCACCUAGGCGACGAUCCCUAGCUGGCCUGAGAGGAUGACCAGCAACACUGGAACGGGGACACGGUCCAGACUCCUAGGGGAGACAGCAGUGGGGAAUAUUGCACAAUGGGCGCAAGCCUGAUGCAGCCAUGCCGCGUGUAUGAAGAAGGCCUUCGGGUUGUAAAGUACUUUCAGCGGGGAGGAAGGGAGUAAAGUUAAUACCUUUGCUCAUUGACGUUACCCGAAGAAGAAGCACCGGCUAACUCCGUG